GAUAAGCGCCUCAAAUGGGGGCAGGGAAAUGUAACUCGGGGCAGCAAUUCCCACAGGAGAUAACUACGGAAGCAGAGCGAGGACAUUUAGUCAGUGCAACCGCAUUAGGAAGAGGAAGAGAUAGCGGGUCCAGCUCAUCUUUGAAGUACUGGAACGAGUUUUGGGUUUAAGUAGAAGGCAAGAGGAACGCACAGCACAAUUAAGCAGUCCUGGUCAGAGUGUGGCCCUUCCCAUCAGGGUCUCAGCCCCAGACCUGCACAGUGGUCCAUAAAUUGUGUUUGUUGUUGUUAUUGUUUCUUUUGAGAUGGGGUAUCUCUCACUGUGUAGCUCUGGAACCUAGCUUUUGAACUCACAGAGAACUGCGUGCCUCUGCCUCCUACGUAGGAUUAAAGGUGCGUGCUGCUGUGUCUGGUAGGUUCAUAAAUGUUCAUCUACUAACCUGUCACCCUCAGGGGAGCCAGUUCGCUUGCUACAAGCUGAUUCCUUCUGCUCCAGAGGGACGCCUCACGUCGUGGAUAAUUGUCCUUAUGCCUCCAUGUGCUGAGACUACAAGUGUGCGCCUCCAGGACCACGCCAUCAUGCCGGUGUGCCACCAUACUGGCGGGACUCCAUCCGAACUCUGACAAGGUUCCCCUCUGCCUCUGAAGACCCAUGAACAACGUGCUGUGGUUUGGUUUUGGCGCUCUUUAUUCCUGGGAUGAAAUCUGUCCCAGCUGGGCUGUCGACAGACAAGCUGCUAAAUUCUGUCAGGAAAUUAUAAAACACGGCUGGUAAGAA